rnacentral:rRNA from 1 species
CAAAAAAGACAGUCUCAGUUCGGAUUGAAGGCUGAAAUUCGCCUUCAUGAAGCCGGAAUUGCUAGUAAUGGCAGGUCAGCAUACUGCCGUGAAUACGUUCCCGGGCCUUGUACACACCGCCCGUCACACCAUGAGAGUCGGGAACACCCGAAGUCCGUAGCCUGACCGCAAGGAGGGCGCGGCCGAAGGUGGGUUCGAUAAUUGGGGUGAAGUCGUAACAAGGUACC